rnacentral:rRNA from 1 species
CUGCUCAAUGAAUAAAUUUAAAUGGCUGCAGUAUUUUAACUGUGCUAAGGUAGCAUAAUAAUUAGUUUAUUAAUUGUGAACUUGUAUGAAUGAUUUAAUAAAACAAAAACUUUUUUAAUUUAAAAUUUUAAAUUUAAUAAGUAAGUAAAAAUGCUUAUAUAUUUAUAUUAGACGAUAAGACCCUAUAAAAUUUUAUAAUAAAAUUUUUAUUAAUUUAUUGAAUUUAUAAAUAGUAGUUUUAUUAUUUAAUUGGGGUGAUUUAAUUAUUUAAUAAAUUAAUUGACUUUUUAAACAUUAAUAAAUGAUUUUAAGAUCCAAAAAUUUUGAUUAAUAGAUUAAAUUACUUUAGGGAUAACAGCGUAAUUAUUUAUUUUAGUUCUUAUAAAUUAAAUUAUUUGCGACCUCGAUGUUGAAUUA